rnacentral:misc_RNA from 1 species
GGUAGGGGGCGACUCGCUCCCCGCCAGAUCUGGCGAGCCACUGUAGCCUACGCUACCACUGUAGCUGCUUUAGGGCUCACCGUUGCAUGAGAUAGCGUCGUACUGUUGCCGCUUAAUAAAGGGGAGGGGGAGGUCGCGGCAGCCGUUGAAAGCAGUCUCAUACAACAGCAGCCAGUGAGUCAGUGACAGAACGGAAUGGAAGGAGAGAGCGAGAACAGAACAGAGGGAGAGGGCGAACCCUUGCUUUGCUUCCAUUUCCAUCCCCUCCCUCCCCUUCCUAGGAUAUGCGGGCGACGUCAGGUCAGGUCAUGUCAGGUGGUGGCCGUAAAAGGGAGGAGAGGAGGUGAGUCAGCUCGCACGCACGCACGUACAGCAAUGGCAGUAUACAAUAUCCGCGUGGACUGGCCGUCUUCCCCCCCCUCCCCCUCCCCCCCCACCCACCCCCCACCCCAGUAUAAUAAAAGGCAGAGCCGCGUUCCCGUUCCCGCUCCCGCCCCUGCCGCCGCACGUUGUCCCGCGGAUCUCCACGCUCGCAAGUUGACUCCCACCACUGCCACCGUCCACCGACGACGACUCCAGCCCACUUGUUCGUCCCCUCGUCCAAGCCCCCCCUCCCGUUGCACCGAGGCCACACCACACACACGUACACCCGUUGGCCAUGGCCGUCGCGAGGCUGGUGGCCGCCCCAUUCCCUCUCGCCACGUGCCGCUUGCGGAGGCCACGCCCAGCCUUGCCCCCCGCGCAUGCGGGGCCGGGGCCGCGGCCGCAGGUCCUGGUGCUCGCGCCUCCCGCUGCCACGGCGGCCCGGCGCGCCGUGCCCGUGCGCGCGGCGCCGGAGGACGAGGCCGUGGUCGCCGGCGACGGCGGCGGAGGGGACGCGGAGGCCGUGGCGGCGCGCGCGGCGCGGAAGCAGUCGGAGCGGCGGACUUACCUGGUGGCGGCGGUCAUGUCCAGCCUCGGGAUCACGUCCAUGGCCGCCGCCGCCGUCUACUACCGCUUCGCCUGGCAAAUGGAGGGGGGCGGCGAGAUCCCGGUGACGGAGAUGGUCGGCACCUUCGCGCUCUCGGUGGGCGCCGCGGUGGGGAUGGAGUUCUGGGCGCGGUGGGCGCACCGGGCGCUGUGGCACGCGUCGCUGUGGCACAUGCACCAGUCCCACCACCGGCCCCGCGACGGGCCCUUCGAGCUCAACGACGUCUUCGCCAUCGUCAACGCCGUCCCGGCCAUGUCCCUCCUCGCCUACGGCUUCUUCAACCGGGGCCUCGUGCCGGGCCUCUGCUUCGGCGCGGGGCUGGGGAUCACGUUGUUCGGGAUGGCCUACAUGUUCGUGCACGACGGCCUCGUCCACCGCCGCUUCCCCGUCGGGCCCAUCGAGAACGUGCCCUACUUCCGCCGCGUCGCCGCCGCCCAUCAGAUACAUCACAUGGACAAGUUCCAGGGCGUGCCCUACGGCCUGUUCCUGGGGCCCAAGGAGCUGAAGGAGGUGGGAGGAACUGAGGAGCUGGAGAAGGAGAUCAAGAAGAGGAUCAGGAGGAGGGAGGCCCUAGACGCCAUCCAAUAAGACCUGAUUAGCUAUACAGUGCUUACUGCUUUGGCUAUAGAAUUCCACUGUUUUUUUUGACCUUCUCCUCACAUUAGAUCUUCUAGCGUUUCGAUGUAUAUACGAGUGGUAGCGUGUGCAUGUGUCUUCUUUCCUGUUAAUAGAGUAGAAGCGCAGAUCGAGGAAUAAUUUCGAGUUGGGCAAACAGGUAGCCGCAGCUAGCUCUUGCA